UAACCGCAAGGCUUAAGAGGAGGGGUGAGAAAAAGUCGUAUAAAAGGCGAGAGAAAAGUCGACAGGGAUCAGUCGAGCGAGUAUCUCCGACACGGUAACAGCUGCAUUCCACUAUCUGCCAUCAGCUGCAUUCUUCAUCGUACUAUCAGUUCUCAAUCAUGGUAAACUAUGCUGUCGUGCUGUUGUUGGGUGUUGUGUCGUUGAUGGCUGGUUCAGCCACUGGCGUACCGAUGUAUCCUGGGUAUGGCGGAUACCAAAGCACUACACUGCCGCCUUAGUACACAACCAGUUGCUACACCGAUGCCCCCCAGGUACUUCACCACCAUGCUGCCCCGAGCUACUACACCGAAUCCCCGCAGUAUUAUUCUUCUCCGAGCUACACUACUAAAGGGUAGAGUACUACACCGAGGCUCCCCAACACUACACCACCAAGGCACCGGAGUACUACACCACUACAUAUCAUGGUAAUGAAGGAGAGAAAAGGUGAAAUAUUUCAGCAGCCGAUUGAGCAUCUCCGUUACGGCAACAGGAACUGCCGUGCACUAUUUGUCAUCAACUUCAUUCUUCGUCGCAUUAAAAGUUUUAAAUAAAGUAAACUAUGGCGUCGUGCUGCUGUUGGGUGUUGUAUUGUUGAUGGGUGGUUCAGCCAUGGUGUACCGAUGUCUCCUGGGUAUGGCGGGUACUAAAGCACAACACUGCCGUGCCGUCUAACUAAUUAGCAUCAACUUCCGCUGCUCCAGCUUACUACACUGAGGUUUACAAGUGCUACACCACCAUGGAUCCAGAGUAUUACACCACAGCUCAUGUUGCCCCGACCUACUACGCUGAAUGCCCGAAGUAUUUUUCUUCCCCGAGCUACACUACCAAAGGGUCGAGAACUACGUCGAGGCUCCCAAGUACUACAUCACCAAGGCACCGGAGUACAAAAAAGGUUGAAUACUACACAGAAGCUAUCAUGGUUCAAAUUAUUUGUUGCCUAGGAAACUAUGGUGUCGUGUUGCUGUGAGUGUUGUAAUCAUGAUGGCUGGAUCGACCACUGGUGUGCCGAUAUCUCCUGGGUAUGGUGGGCAUCAACAACAUACGCAACAACCGCUUACUACACUGGGACCUGCAAGUGCCAAACCACCAAGGCUUCAGAGUAUUACACCACAGUUUAUGUUGGCACGAGCUACUACGCAGAAGCUCCGGAAUAAUUUUCUUCCCCGCUUCACUACCUUCACCACGCCGCGUCCUUACUAAACAACAACAACAACGUCGUCAACACCUACUUACUAAACGAACGCCUCCAAGUACUACGCCAUAAAGGCUUCGACUACCACACCGAGGAUCAACCUGUUACACCGCCGAAGCGCCCAAGUACUGCACUACAACCUACAUUGCCCCAGCUUACACCACGAAGGCAGCGGAGUCCUACUACACCACGAAGGCAGCGGAGUCCUACUACACCACGAAGGCAGCGGAGUCCUACUACACCACGAAGGCAGCGGAGUCCUACUACACCACGAAGGCAGCGGAGUCCUACUACACCACGAAGGCAGCGGAGUCCUACUACACCACGAAGGCAGCGGAGUCCUACUACACCACGAAGGCAGCGGAGUCCUACUACACCACGAAGGCAGCGGAGUCCUACUACACCACGAAGGCAGCGGAGUCCUACUACACCACGAAGGCAGCGGAGUCCUACUACACCACGAAGGCAGCGGAGUCCUACUACACCACGAAGGCAGCGGAGCCCUACUACACCACGAAGGCAGCGGAGUCCUACUACACCACGAAGGCAGCGGAGUCCUACUACACCACGAAGGCAGCGGAGUCCUACUACACCACGAAGGCAGCGGAGUCCUACUACACCACGAAGGCAGCGGAGUCCUACUACACCACGAAGGCAGCGGAGUCCUACUACACCACGAAGGCAGCGGCAAGUUAAACCGAGGCUCCAGUUUACUACAAUACAACCUUCGCUGCUCCAUCGUACUACACCGAUGUUCCCAAGUACUACACCAUCAAGGCAUCCGAGUAUUACGCAUUACUUACGCACAAUCAUUACUACACCGAAGCUUCGAACGCAUCACUCUGCCCCGAGUUACUACACCACUAAGGCAGUCAAAUAUUACACCACAAACUACUAUCCCGCAAUUUUCUAAAAGGAAAUUUCUAAAUACUAGAGCCGGAAAUUCUUGAGGUUAUUUAUAUAUGUCGGUUAUUUUCGUGGUCAUUGGUUAUUGGGAAUUAAUUAUUGAUCUUACAUGAAAAAAUAAAAGUUUUAAUAUGGGUAA